rnacentral:rRNA from 1 species
GCUCUUUGAUUUAUUUUUAUUGAUGAGGAGUCGGGUCUGCCCGGUGAUGCAAUCAGCAAUGAUGUGUUAAACGGUUGCGACGAGAGUCGUACUAAGGUAGCGUGAUAAUCUGUCCUUUAAUUGGGGAAUGGUAUGAAUGGCUUGACGUAGAGGAACUGUCUCCUGAGAACUGUAUGAAAUUUCCCUCCUGGUGAAAAGGCCCGGAUUUUUGUAAAAGACGAGAAGACCCCGUCGAGCUUGAUUAUGGCUUUAUAAUUAGUUCUAAAGUUUGAAGUUUUGUUGGGGCAACACGAGGUUAUAAAAAACACCUUGGUUUUAGAAUGAAGAACCCCUUUGAGGGGUAAUCAGCAAAAGUUACCGCGGGGAUAACAGCGUAAUCUUUCUUGAGAGGACGUAUUGAGGGAAGGGUUUGCGACCUCGAUGUUGGAUUAGGGAAAACUGUAUGGUGCAGGAGCUAUACGAUGUAGGACUGUUCGUCCUUUAAUCCCCU